rnacentral:rRNA from 1 species
UACGGGGGGUGCGAGCGUUGUCCGGAAUCACUGGGCGUAAAGGGCGCGUAGGUGGUUUGAUAAGGGUGUGGUGAAAGCCCGGGGCUCAACCCCGGGUCUGCCGUGCCGACUGUCAAACUCGAGGGCUGUAGAGGCAGACGGAAUUCCGGGUGUAGCGGUGAAAUGCGCAGAUAUCAGGAGGAACACCGGUGGCGAAGGCGGAUCUCUGGGCCGUAACUGACGCUGAGGAGCGAAAGCAUGGGGAGCGAACAGG